rnacentral:rRNA from 1 species
AGUGAACGCUGGCGGUAGGCCUAACACAUGCAAGUCGAACGGCAGCACAGUAAGAGCUUGCUCUUACGGGUGGCGAGUGGCGGACGGGUGAGGAAUACAUCAGAAUCUACUUUUUCGUGGGGGAUAACGUAGGGAAACUCACGCUAAUACCGCAUACGACCUACGGGUGAAAGCAGGGGAUCUUCGGACCUUGCGCGAUUGAAUGAGCCGAUGUCGGAUUAGCUAGUUGGCGGGGUAAAGGCCCACCAAGGCGACGAUCCGUAGCUGGUCUGAGAGGAUGAUCAGCCACACUGGAACUGAGACACGGUCCAGACUCCUACGGGAGGCAGCAGUGGGGAAUAUUGGACAAUGGGCGCAAGCCUGAUCCAGCCAUACCGCGUGGGUGAAGAAGGCCUUCGGGUUGUAAAGCCCUUUUGUUGGGAAAGAAAAGCAGCAGGUUAAUACCCCGCUGUUCUGACGGUACCCAAAGAAUAAGCACCGGCUAACUUCGUG